rnacentral:rRNA from 1 species
AGUUCGAUCCUGAAGUAAGAUUGAACGCUGGCGGGAUGCUUUACACAUGCAGUCGAACGGCAGCACGGACUUCGGUCUGGUGGCGAGUGGCGAACGGGUGAGUAAUGUAUCGAACGUGCCUAGUAGCGGGGGAUAACUACGCGAAAGCGUAGCUAAUACCGCAUACGCCCUUCGAGGAAAGCGGGGGACCUUCGGGCCUCGCACUAUUAGAGCGGCCGAUAUCGAGUUAGCUAGUUGGUGGGGUAACGGCUCGCAAGGCGACGUCGUAGCUGGUUUGAGAGGACGACCAGCACACUGGGACUGAGACACGGCCCAGACUCUGCGGGAGGCAGCAGUGGGGAAUUUUGGACAAUGGGGAAGCCUGAUCCAGCCAUCCGCGUGUGCGAUGAAGGCCUUCGGGUUGUAAAGCACUUUUGGCAGGAAAGAAACGGCACGGGAUAAGCCCGUGCAACUGACGGUACCUGCAGAAUAAGCACCGGCUAACUACGUGCCAGCAGCCGCGGUAAUACGUAGGGUGCAAGCGUUAAUCGGAAUUACUGGGCGUAAAGCGUGCGCAGGCAGCGGGUUCGGAAAGAAAGAUGUGGAAAUCCCAGAGCUUAACUUUGGAACUGCAUUUUUAACUACCGAGCUAGAGUGUGUCAGGGAGGUGGAAUUCCGUGUAGCAGUGAAAUUACGUAGAUAUGCGGAGGAACACCGAUAGCGAAGGCAGCCUCCUGGGAUACUGACGCUCAUGCACGAAAGCGUGGGAGCAAACUGGGAUUAGAUACCCUGGUAGUCCACGCCUAAACGAUGUCAACUAGCUGUUGGGGCCUUCGGGCCUUGGUAGCGCAACUAACGCGUGAAAGUUGACCGCCUGGGAAAUACGGUCGCAAGAUUAAAACUCAAAGGAACGAUUGACGGGGACCCGCACAAGCGGUGGAUGAUGUGGAUUAAUUCGAUGCAACGCGAAAAACCUUACCUACCCUUGACAUGUCUGGAAUUCCCGAAGAGAUUUGGGAGUGCUCGCAAGAGAACCGGAACUGGGUGCUGCAUGGCUGUCGUCAGCUCGUGUCGUGAGAUGUUGGGUUAAGUCCCGCAACGAGCUGUACUUGUCAUUAGUUGCUACGAAAGGGCACUCCUAAUGAGACUGCCGGUGACAAACCGGAGGAAGGGAGUGAGGAUGACGUCAAGUCCUCAUGGCCCUUAUGGGUGAGCUUCACACGUCAUACAAUGGUCGGGACAGAGGGUCGCCAACCCGCGAAGGAGCCAAUCCGAAACCGAUCUGGUCGGAUCGCAGUCUGCAACUCGACUGCGUGAAGUCGAGAUCCGCUAGUAAUCGCGGAUCAGCAUGUCGCGGUGAAUACGUUCCGGGUCUUGUACACCGCCCGUCACACCAUGGGGUGGGUUUUACCAGAAGUAGUUAGCCUAACCGUAAGGAGGGCGAUUACCACGGUAGGAUUCAUGACUGGGGUGAAGUCGUAACAAGGUAG